rnacentral:rRNA from 1 species
UGGAUUUUGCAGGAGGGCGCACGACCGGGCUUUGCUCAGGCCGCGCGCCUACCUGUUUUUUGUCGGGGACUACGCCACUCUUAACUGGGGGGCGCUAGGACGCGGCUCGUUUACUUUGAAAAAAUUAGAGUGUUCAAAGCAGGCCUUUGCUUGAAUACAUUAGCAUGGAAUAAUGGAAUAGGACUUUGGUUCUAUUUUGUUGGUUUCUGGAACCGAAGUAAUGAUUAAUAGGGAUAGUUGGGGGCGUUUAUAUUUCCAUGUCAGAGGUGAAAUUCUUGGAUUUUGGAAAGAUAAACUUCUGCGAAAGCAUUCGCCAAGGAUGUUCUCAUUAAUCAAGAACGAAAGUUAGGGGAUCGAAGACGAUCAGAUACCGUCGUAGUCUUAACCAUAAACUAUGCCGACUAGGGAUCAGUGGACGUUAUUUUAUGACUCAUUGGCACCUUGUGAGAAAUCAAAGUUUUUGGGUUCCGGGGGGAGUAUGGUCGCAAGGCUGAAACUUAAAGGAAUUGACGGAA